rnacentral:tRNA from 1 species
GCCUUCGCAGUGUAAUGGUCAGCACUUUCGGCGCGUAUUCGAGAGGUCCUUGGUUCGAGUCCCAGUGAGGGCA